CAGACCGGGGCUCUCGUGCGCGUCUUGAAAGUGGAAGCCAACAAUAAGCUGCUCAUAUGCUCCGCCGUCUACAGGCACAAAGUGCUGGUCGGGAGCAAAGGCGGUGAUAUUGUGUCUGUGGAUCUGCCUUGAAACGAGUUGAAGAAGACUGCCUCUGCCCUGAGUUCCUUAGCGACUUCUAUUCCGCAUUAAUGCUUCGAUGGUGCCAUCAAUUUCACAAGCCUAGAAAUUCAUGGAAGCAUAUUGCACAUUUUUCUAGGCUUUGUGCGCGUUAGAAAUCAAAUUUUAUUGGCAGCAGCAGUCAGUUAAACUUGUUGUGGACCAUCACGAUGGCUUAGCUGCAACGCACGCCAAUUAUGCAGGAAAAUGAAGUAUUCCUCUGAGUUGUUUGAGUGUUCCCUGCUUUAUUUUGAUUCUUUCUAUACUGUUACAUCCUUGGUAUCCUUCAAAUUGCUUCGUAAGUCUAAAGCUUGCGAAGAAACGCGUCAACAUAAUAUGAUACAUUUCUAUGAGAAUUUAGAACCGGAGUUGAAAUUUUGAUUUACGUCAAUUUUGGUCUAGUUCAUGCACUUGCACACAUGUUGUCUGGUAUGGCACAUGAACAUGCGAAUCAGAGUGCAGAGCGUGUUAUUCAUAAAUCUACCUUAUAUAUCUUCUUAAUAUUUUUAAAUUUUAAAAUAUUGUACGGAUAAAUGUGACGCGCCUUGUUAAUCAGUGAGUUUGUAUUUAAUGAUCCCAUUUUUCCUGGCUGCCACUGUAGUUACUGCGCUGUGCCAGAAAGCCAGACAUUUAAAUUACCAACAUUACUUCCGAAAAUGGCACGUAGUGUUCACUUAUCUUGGUGCUCAAUAAACCUAUUCCAAUG
rnacentral:lncRNA from 1 species